rnacentral:rRNA from 1 species
GGCAAAGUUAAUAAGGGCGCACGGUGGAUGCCUUGGCAUUAAGAGCCGACGAAGGACGUGACUAACGACGAUAUUCUAGGGGGAGCAGUAAGUACGCAUUGAUCCCUAGGUCUCCGAAUGGGGAAACCCACUAUGUUAUGCAUAGUAUCCGUAAGUGAAUACAUAGCUUACGCGAAGGUAACGCAGAGAACUGAAACAUCUAAGUACCUGCAGGAAGAGAAAGUAAAAACGAUUUCCUAAGUAGCGGCGAGCGAACGGGAAACAGGCCAAACCAAGAAGCUUGCUUCUUGGGGUUGUAGGACUGCAACGUGGACUUAAAGUCUAUAGAAGAAUUACCUGGGAAGGUAAGCCAAAGAGAGUAAUAGCCUCGUAUUUGAAAUAGACUUUAUACCUAGCAGUAUCCUGAGUAGGGCUGGACACGCGAAAUCCAGUUUGAAUCCGGGAGGACCAUCUCCCAAGCCUAAAUACUCCUUAAUGACCGAUAGUGAACCAGUACCGUGAGGGAAAGGUGAAAAGAACCCCGGGAGGGGAGUGAAAUAGCACCUGAAACCGUGUGCCUACAAGAAGUUCGAGCCCGUCAAUGGGUGAGAGCGUGCCUUUUGUAGAAUGAACCGGCGAGUUACGUUAUGAUGCGAGGUUAAGCUGAAGAGGCGGAGCCGUAGCGAAAGCGAGUCUGAAUAGGGCGCUUUAGUAUCAUGAUGUAGACCCGAAACCUAGUGACCUAUCCAUGAGCAGGUUGAAGGUGCGGUAAGACGCACUGGAGGACCGAACCAGGACACGUUGAAAAGUGUUUGGAUGACUUGUGGAUAGCGGAGAAAUUCCAAACGAACUGGGAGAUAGCUGGUUCUCUCCGAAAUAGCUUUAGGGCUAGCGUCGCAAUUUAAGUGUAUUGGAGGUAGAGCACUGUUUGGAUGAGGGGCCCAUCUCGGGUUACCAAUUUCAGAUAAACUCCGAAUGCUAAUACACAUGUGCGGCAGUCAGACUGCGAGUGCUAAGAUCCGUAGUCGAAAGGGAAACAGCCCAGACCACCAGCUAAGGUCCCAAAAUAUAUGUUAAGUGGAAAAGGAUGUGGGGUUGCACAGACAACUAGGAUGUUAGCUCAGAAGCAGCUAUCAUUCAAAGAGUGCGUAAUAGCUCACUAGUCGAGUGACCCUGCGCCGAAAAUGUACCGGGGCUAAACAUAUUACCGAAGCUGUGGAUUUAAUAUUAAUUAAAUGGUAGGAGAGCGUUGUAAUCAGCGAUGAAGGUAUACCGUGAGGGGUGCUGGAGCGAUUACAAGUGAGAAUGCCGGUAUGAGUAGCGCAAGAUAAGUGAGAAUCUUAUCCACCGUAAGACUAAGGUUUCCAGGGGAAGGCUCGUCCGCCCUGGGUUAGUCGGGACCUAAGGCGAGGCCGAAAGGCGUAGUCGAUGGACAACAGGUUGAUAUUCCUGUACUAGUAUUGUUAGUGAUGGAGGGACGCAGUAGGCUAAAGGGAGCCAGUUAAUGGAUUCUGGUCUAAGCAGUGAGGUGUGGAAUGUGUCAAAUGCAUUUUCCUUUAACAUUGAGCUGUGAUGGGGAAGCAACUACGGUUGCGAAGCCCUUGAUGUCACACUGCCAAGAAAAUCUUCUAGCGUUUAAUUCAAUACUACCCGUACCGCAAACCGACACAGGUAGUCGAGGCGAGUAGCCUCAGGUGAUCGAGAGAACUCUCGUUAAGGAACUCGGCAAAAUGACCCCGUAACUUCGGGAGAAGGGGUGCUGUAGAAAUACAGCCGCAGUGAAAAGAUCCAAGCAACUGUUUAUCAAAAACACAGCUCUCUGCUAAACCGCAAGGUGAUGUAUAGGGGGUGACGCCUGCCCGGUGCUGGAAGGUUAAGAGGAGGGGUUAGACAUUAGUCGAAGCUCUGAAUUGAAGCCCCAGUAAACGGCGGCCGUAACUAUAACGGUCCUAAGGUAGCGAAAUUCCUUGUCGGGUAAGUUCCGACCCGCACGAAAGGCGUAAUGAUUUGGAUACUGUCUCAACGAGAGACUCGGUGAAAUUUUAGUACCUGUGAAGAUGCAGGUUACCCGCGACAGGACGGAAAGACCCCAUGGAGCUUUACUGCAGAUUGAUAUUGAGUACCUGUGAAGCAUGUACAGGAUAGGUAGGAGACUUUGACCUUGGGACGCUAGUUUCAAGUGAGUCGCUGUUGGGAUACUACCCUUGCUUCAUGGUUGCUCUAACCCACACGCAUAAUCGGCGUGGGAGACAGUGUCUGUCGGGCAGUUUGACUGGGGCGGUCGCCUCCUAAAGAGUAACGGAGGCGCCCAAAGGUUCCCUCAACAUGGUUGGAAAUCAUGUGUAGAGUGUAAAGGUAUAAGGGAGCUUGACUGCGAGAGCUACAACUCGAGCAGGUAGGAAACUAGGGCUUAGUGAUCCGGUGGUACCGCAUGGAAGGGCCAUCGCUCAACGGAUAAAAGCUACCCUGGGGAUAACAGGCUUAUCUCCCCCAAGAGUUCACAUCGACGGGGAGGUUUGGCACCUCGAUGUCGGCUCGUCGCAUCCUGGGGCUGUAGUCGGUCCCAAGGGUUGGGCUGUUCGCCCAUUAAAGCGGCACGCGAGCUGGGUUCAGAACGUCGUGAGACAGUUCGGUCCCUAUCCGUCGCGGGCGUAGGAAAUUUGAGAGGAUCUGCCCUUAGUACGAGAGGACCGGGGUGGACUUACCGCUGGUGUACCAGUUGUUCCGCCAGGAGCACCGCUGGGUAGCUAUGUAGGGAAGGGAUAAGCGCUGAAAGCAUCUAAGUGCGAAGCCCACCUCAAGAUGAGAUUUCCCAUUCUUUAUGAAUUAAGAGCCCUGAGAGAUGAUCAGGUUGAUAGGCUGGAAGUGGAAGUCCUGCGAGGGAUGGAGCGGACCAGUACUAAUAGCUCGAGGACUUUACCAA